CACCAGUAGUAGAAUCCACCAAUAAGUUUCCUGCAUAACCCGGAUAAGCCCCUUUACCAUAAACCCCAGUGCAAGCUGAUGCUGCCUCCAGUGGUGCCUCUUUUGGACCCUGGAAGUAUCCAUUUGCAAAUGGGUUUGUGGCAGUCCCAGCCAAAAGGCUGGCCAAGUUGAUUACCAUGCCAUCAAGACCCACAUCGUUGUUGGGCGCAACCAGUGGUGGGCUCUGUGGUCCGUAGAUUGGCUGGUGGA
rnacentral:misc_RNA from 1 species